GUGACGUAUGGUGGGGUGUUGGGGGGCUGAGACUGUCUGCCCUGUAUGGUGCCCUGGGGAACGGGGACACGGGUGCCGGUAGGGGCGGUGUGGGAAGGACAGAGCAAGGCGGAGAUGGAGGGCAGCAGGGGCCAGAGCGUGCAGAGCCUCGCAGGCCUCAGGGAGGACUCGGGGCUUGAUCGCAAUGGUAACAGGAAGAUUUGCUAAGUCGCUUUAGUCGUGUCCGACCCUGUGCGACCCCAUAGACGGCAGCCAACCAGGCUCCCCCGUCCCUGGGAUUCUCCAGGCAAGAACACUGGAGUGGGUUGCCAUUUCCUUCUCCAGUGCAUGAAAGUGAAAAGUGAAAGGGAAGUCACUCAGUCGUGCCCGACUCUUAGCGACCCCAUGGACUGCAGCCCACCAGGCUGCUCCAUCCAUGGGAUUUUCCAGGCAAGGGUACUGGAGUGGGGUGCCAUUGCCUUGCUUUGAGCUGGAUUCAAAUGGACUAAGACAUAAGAUUCACAACCUCCAGAGAGUAUUACUUUGCUACACAGAAGAAACCAGCACAACAUUGUAAAGCAAACCGUACUCCAAUAACGAUUAAUAAUAAUAAUAACCCCUCCAAUAGCUAGCAGUUAAACCACUUGGGUAUUCAUUCCUUCCCCCAGUAGUUGAGCGCCUACUCUGUUCCAGACACUCUUCCAGGCACUGGAGAGAAACAAAGGGGGUUGGAUACAACAAACUCAGACUCUGCCUUCCUGGGGCCAGAGGGGUCACAGACCCUACAGCAAAUAAUCAUACGGUCAAACACAGUGAUCAGAGCCACCAGGGAGGGCUUCUCCGAGGUGAUGCAAAGGCAGCUGGUUAGGUGCUUCAUUUGGCCGGUGUACAUGGAGCAGCAAGUGUGUCAGAGACUGUGCUGGGUGCAAGGGGUGUCGCACGAGCCAGGCAGACCCAGUUCGUGCCCUCGAGGCGUGGACAGCCAGUGGAGGAGACACACCAAAUGGGACUGAAGCAGAACCUGUCUGAACCACUGGAGGUCUAGAGUAAUAUGUGAAGUGCUCGGAAUAGCACACGGCACACACAGGUUCCGCGUCUCCAGACCAUCUGCGAUGUGCUUGAUCCUGUGCUCUUCCCAUCCUAAAAACCACGCGGCCUGACAACCGUCUUCCGAGGCAGGCAUUAGCAACCCAUUUCACAGAAGUGGAAACUGAGUUCUGAAGAGAUUAGACAGGCUGCCCAAAGCAGACGCUCACGAGCACCUGCUUCCCUGGGCUGCUCUCGAAGUGAACUCCUGUGACAGCCCCCCCAUUUCCUGUGGCGUCAGAGGCAACUGGGGCCUCAACCUCCCUCACACACUCGGCUGUGUGUUCCUGCCUCCACGCCCCCCUCCCCAAGCCUGGCCCAGCGCUGGCCUCAGAAACGUUGGUUGCUGUCAGACAGAAUCUACAGGCCCAAAGAGCUGUGCUGUCCCCGUUACCUCUCCACACCCUCAGCCUGCUUCUUCAUCCUCUGGCCAACCGGAAGGAAACUCAGCAUGGCCCUCGUACCCCUGAACAUCUCCCUCCCUACCAGGGCGAGAAGAAAUCCCGUGGACAGAGGAGCCUGGCGGGCUGCAGCCCAGGGAGCCGCACAGAGUUGGACAUGACUGAGUGACUCACACUUUCACAUUCAUCUCUGGAGGGGCGUCACUCUGCUUGCCACAAACCUGGAAUCCAGGCCCAACCCAGCCUCUGGAGCUUCCCAGAACCCUGAUUUUAUUGGGAUGGCAGUCAGCCAGCUAAAAGCUCUCAGCCUCCUGAAGUCCCUGUGACAGCCGGGAGCGGCUAUGUGAUCCAGUGUGGAUACGAGCUAGAGAGAAUGGCCAUCUUGCAACCACGACCAACCGUGAGGACAAGAAGGCCAAGUGAAGAAACAGGAAGAACCUGGUGCCCUGGUGGCAUCACCGAGGCACCCUAGCAGCCCAAGACGCUUACUGUUGGGCUUAGUAACAGGAGAUGAUAGAACUUACCAGUGGUGAGAUUCUUGCAGCUGAAUGCAUGCCUGCUGGAUCCACUCCCCUGCCUCUGGAUUUCUAAACUCAUGAGAAAAUACAUUUCCUUAAUGAUUAAGCAUUUUGCACCGGGUUUCCUGUCCUUGCAGUUGAAUGCAUCCUAGAGUAUCCUGCAUUUUGCAGUGAGGUGACUUCUGAUAAAUGAGAUAUGCCUGAUCUUGGACUUGACCGACAUGGGUGUUGGGGGCAGGGAUCCCGCCCACGCCUGCUGGAGAAUCAGAGGGUCAAAGAGAAGACUUCUGAUAUCCAGCGCAUCUUUCUGCCAGAACCAAAAAGACUAAGGCCUCAGGGUUUACUUCGGCUUCAGAUUAUCUGUGAAGAGUUCUUACUGAUUUGUCAGUUUGCUUAUUUGUUUUUGAAGGAAGAAAGCUAAGGUUCAAGGAGACAAAUUUAUCACCUAAGGCUCUCAGCCAGAGCGAGGUCUGCUGGUUUCUGGGAUCAUCUUCUUUUUCCUCCUCCUCUCUGGACCCAUGUCUUCCCAUCAGUAGGAUGAGAUUAACUCAAGAUCAAAGCUUUUCAAACGUUUCAUUUCAAAGUGGGCAAAACCCUUUUACAGCUGAACUCUUACUUGUUGUCCCACUCAUAAAAAAAGACAAAAGCAGCUGCUUGUCGUGGGGCGGGUCAGGAGCCUGCAGCCUCCUCCCCGGGGCCUGGGUCCACUGGCGUCUCACUGCCGCCCCGGGGUUGCAGCGGGCUUUCAGCAGACAGCAGCCCAGAUUGUCCCGAGGCCUGCAGGAAAGCCUGAGUCCAAGAGGGGAGUCUCCGAUCUUUCAAACAGUGCGAACAUGUAUCGUGGAAGACAGUCACGCACACAGCGAAACAAAACCAAAACCAAAAACUUUCGAACAGUGCAAACGGGACGAAAAGUCACCUUCCUCUCGUCUCUGACUUGCCACUCUUCCCCCAAAACACAGGGCCUUGUCCUCUGAGAGAUGGUCUGUAUGUCUCCCAAGAGAUGUAUGUACACAUACUGUCCCAUCUUGCCUUACACACACACGCACACACACACACACACACACACACUCUAGCAUCUUGUAAUCACUUUGUAUCUUUUCUCAGUUAAUGUUGCAUCUUGGCAGUUUUUCCAAAUCCGUACUCAGAGGUCUGCUUCAUUCACUUCAGUGGUUACCUGAUACUGGAAUACUAUUUAAUUUAAAAUACCCUUAUUCUUGACUAAGACGUACGAACUACUGUGAAAGUGAAAGUGCGGGUCUCUCCGUCCUGUGUGGUUCUCGGCGACCCCACGGACCGUAGCCCGCCCGGCUCCUCUGUCCUUGGAAUUCUCCAGGCAAGAUACUGGCGUGAGUUGCCAUUUCCUCUUCCAGGGGAUUUUCCUUACCCAGAGAUCGAAUCCGGGACUCUUGCAUUGCAGGCUGAUUGUUUGCCAUCUGAUCCACCAGGGAAGCCCUACAAACCACUACGAAUAGAAUAAAUAAGAUAUAAGGAUAUACUGUACAGCCAGGGAAUAUAGACAGUAUUCUAUAACAACUUUAAGUGGAGUAUAAUGUACAGAAAUAUUGAGUCUCUACACUGUAUACCUGAAACUAAUGUAAUAUUGUACACCAACCAUACCUUAAUUAAAACAAAAAUAAGAAAAGGAAAAAACAAAGAAAUGGGAUACUAAAAACAAACGAAACUUUCCUCUUCUUGGAUACUCAGGUUGCUUCCAGUCUUUUACUGUGUUAAAGAAUCCUGCAAUUUAGGUGGGAGGUGGGAGGAAGGUUCAAAAAGGCGGUGACAUAUGUAUACCUAUGGCGGACUUAUGUUGAUGUGUGGCAGAAAC
ensembl:lncRNA